AGAGAGGAUGUGGAGAAAAGGGAACGCUCAUACACGGCUGGUGGGAAUGCAAACUGGUGCAGCCACUAUGGAAAACAGUAUGGAGAUUCCUCAAAA